rnacentral:rRNA from 1 species
GAUGAACGCUGGCGGCGUGCCUAAUACAUGCCAGUCGAGCGAACAGACGAGGAGCUUGCUCCUCUGACGUUAGCGGCGGACGGGUGAGUAACACGUGGAUAACCUACCUAUAAGACUGGGAUAACUUCGGGAAACCGGAGCUAAUGCCGGAUAAUAUAUUGAACCGCAUGGUUCAAUAGUGAAAGACGGUUUUGCUGUCACUUAUAGAUGGAUCCGCGCCGCAUUAGCUAGUUGGUAAGGUAACGGCUUACCAAGGCAACGAUGCGUAGCCGACCUGAGAGGGUGAUCGGCCACACUGGAACUGAGACACGGUCCAGACUCCUACGGGAGGCAGCAGUAGGGAAUCUUCCGCAAUGGGCGAAAGCCUGACGGAGCAACGCCGCGUGAGUGAUGAAGGUCUUCGGAUCGUAAAACUCUGUUAUUAGGGAAGAACAAAUGUGUAAGUAACUAUGCACGUCUUGACGGUACCUAAUCAGAAAGCCACGGCUAACUACGUG